AACUCUGUAGUCUCUGAUUAAGCACAACUGACUGACUGCUGAUUGAGUGAUUAAAGUAGUGUUUGUCAAGUGUAAAUGAUUGUGAAACAAAGAAAUUUAGACGAAAAUAAAUGAGGCUCGGUAAAACUACGACGUUUAACAUUACUCAUGAGUACGGAAGAGACUCUGUUGAAUCUCGAUUUCGACAAACCAAACACAACAACAGCACCGCCCGAUGACGGAGUGGUCUCGUUAUCCAGUAGUUCAGAAGAGAUUUGUUUAGUGCCAGAGGUCGAGUUCGAGGGCAAUCUGGAUUCUCCAGGAGUGAACCGCGAGUCGCAGCCGCUGCUUGGCGGCCGCGGCGACUUCGAAGUAUCCUUCAAUUACUUCCCAGAUGACCCCCAGUUCAGCGAGCUGGUGCUACAGGCGGAGACGGCCAUUGAUAACGGCAUAUUCCCGGAGAGGAUAUAUCAAGGAUCCAGCGGGUCGUACUUCGUAAAAAACGCGGGCGGGAAAAUCAUCGGCGUUUUCAAGCCGAAAGACGAAGAGCCCUACGGUCGUUUGAACCCCAAAUGGAUGAAAUGGAUGCACAAGCUUUGCUGCCCGUGUUGCUUCGGCCGCUCCUGUCUGAUCCCGAACCAGGGGUACUUGUCCGAGGCCGGUGCGAGCCUCGUAGAUUCCAAAAUAGGACUUAAAGUCGUGCCUAAGACUAAGGUAGUAAAAUUAGUAUCGGAAACGUUUAACUAUCUGCGCAUAGACCGAGAGAGGUCGCGUCUGAAGCGGGCCAUCACCGAGCAGUUCCCGAACUUGCGAUUCAACAGGAUGGGGCUGCCUCCUAAGAAAGGCUCAUUCCAGUUAUUCGUGGAGGGCUACAAGGACGCGGACUAUUGGCUCAGGAGGUUCGAGCAGGAGCCCCCGCCGCCGCACGUCAUGAAGAAGUUCCAGCUGCAGUUCGAGCGGCUCGUGGUGCUGGACUACAUCAUCCGGAACACGGACCGCGGCAACGACAACUGGCUCAUCAAGUACGAGGCGCCGCCCGGCCCGCGCGCCGACGCCGACCUGCGGGACCCCUCGGAGUGGUCGGGCGGGUGGGAGGUGCGCAUCGCGGCCAUCGACAACGGGCUCGCGUUCCCGUUCAAGCACCCGGACUCGUGGCGCGCCUACCCCUACCACUGGGCCUGGCUGCCGCACGCCAAGCUGCCCUUCAGCGACGAGACCAAGCAACUAGUACUUCCGCUGUUAUCCGACAUGAACUUCGUUCAGGAACUGUGCGACGAACUACAUUUGUUGUUUAAACAAGACAAGGGCUUCGACAAGGGUCUGUUCGAGCGGCAGAUGUCGGUGAUGCGCGGGCAGGUGCUCAACCUCACGCAGGCCCUCAAGGACGGCAAGAGUCCCGUGCAGCUGGUGCAGAUGCCGUGCGUGCUCGUCGAGAGGUAACCCAACCCCACCCACAUGUGCAGGGCGAGCUAUUUAACAACGUUAAAGAACUCGCACUAAGCACACUGACGGCAUCUAGUAACGCGCGGCGACUAUGGACAUGGACAAUGACACUUGUCGCGCGAAUCUGUUGACCCAUCGUUUCUUACUCGUACCUUAUUUAAUUUUUUUAAACACAAUUGUGACUAACACUCCCUUACUCGCGUUAUUGCUUAAUAUCCAUUGAACGUGAACCAGUCUGUUGCGUUAAUUUAAUUAAAAAAUGCAAUAAAUUUUUUUAAUUGACUGGGUGGUGCAGUAAUUAGCGGUCCCGACUGUUGCGUCGAGGGGCGCGGGUUCGAUUCCCACGUCGGGCAAACAUUCGCGUGAUGAACGGAUUUGUUUGCUAUUCGUCUGCAUGCUUUUUAUUUAUAUAUGUAUGUGGGAUUUUAUAUUCAGGUUGGGCCAGUGAAACGCUUGAUCACUUCACACAAACUUGAUUCUUUAUUUCGUCUUAAUCAUCUUAAUCUAUGUAACUAAAAUAUUAACGACUUGCUUCGUUAGAGUUACACCGCGUCUGUCGUUUGCAAAAUUACCUUAUGUUACAUUAAACCGAAUUGACAGCUGUUGACUAAAUCGGUAGUUAUUGUCGACAUUACCAUAAUUAACUAGGUCACAGCACUACCGCAUUCCUUAGGAUGGACAUUAACUCGCGCGCCUCCUGUAUGUAUUAAAGUCUCUGGUUGGUACCAGAGACUUUUUUAAGAUUCCCUAUAUUAGGGUUAAUAUAGGGAAUCUUAAUUUGGAGCCAGACGACUGUGCGUGAUUUGUUCCCAGUUAUACGUAUUAUUAUAAUUAACUAGACGUACUCGCCCGCUACGCUGAGCAUUUAAAAUUAGCAUUAUUAUUUAUUGUCAUUAUUAUUAGGGAGUCCAACACUCAUAUAAAUACUAGCCUAUCCAUUAAGUACAUGUAUUUUCUACAUGGCUACCAAGUUUCAAGUUAAUCGGAUGCAUGGUUCAGUAGUUAUAACGGAACAUCCGUAAAAACCACUGUAGUUUUAUAUAUUAGUAUAGAUAUACGGAACUCUUUAAUAACCUUAUAUUAAUUUAUUGUGAUGUGAAAUAAACAAAGCAAUAAUGAAGACAGUACAAAACGUCCAUUACUGAGAGCGGUCUCGUGGAAUGUUCCAGAUCAAAAGGCGGCUCCACCUCGUCUCGCUUCUUCGACUCAUUCCAGCAGAGGUUCCAGCAGAAGUCGCCCUUCUUCUCGUGGUGGUGAAGGACCUCACGAUCAUCUUGUUAAAAUAUGGUGAUAGUUCCACACGACGCUGAUGUAAUAGUGAACCACAUUUUAUAUUUAAUAUGUCGUAGGAUUAGUGUUAUGUUUUAAUAAAUUAAAUCGACGGGUGAAAGAUUAUUAAUGGAUUAACCGACGUUUUUGCUAAUUUACAGGAGAGCUAUUUAAAGUUUGAAUUUCGGCUAAAAUAGCAUAACAAAAAAAGCUUCUUUAGUUAUUCGAAACUUAAUUGAAAUUCAAUUAAAAAUAUCGAACUGUCGAUGCUAAUACCAAAUAAAACGGACCUUUAAUUACAAAGAUAAAUGUCGGUUAAAACCAAAAUAGCAUUUCACCUCUCGAUACAAUGCGGGGGACGAUUGUGACGUUUUGUGUUCAAACGUAAAUAUACGUAUAUAUACAUACUUGAAAACGUAGGAUGCGUUUGUUCGCGCGUUUGAAAAACAGUUAGCACUGGCGUCACACUUUGCCGAUUUUAAAUCGAAAAAUACCUUUGCCGAAAUUAAUCAAAUCAAAAAAAAAAUAUUCAACAUAAAUAUAAGUACAUACUUGUUGAACGUCAAAAUAAACUACUAUAAUUUAAUUUUUAAAAACUAACAACAACGCUUAGAGGUCAAGAAAUGAGAGCUAAGUUAUAAAAUGAUUGUAUUAUCAUCGGUCCUUGAUGCAAAUUUUCAAGUUAAAUGGACGACUUGAAUUCGAUAAGAAAUGAUAUUCGAGGAAUUUGACGCUACAUAUAAAGCUUGUAUAAAGAUUCAUUGGAAUAUUCCGAAAAUGCGUGCCCAGUACUCUCACGUAUAAGCCUUGAGGUAUAAAUGCGUGUGGUGGUGGCGCUGGUGCACUCACUAGCCGCAACCCACGUGGUUCUAAUGUGGCCACUCGGUGAUGAUACUUCCAAGGACAUAUACAGUCAUUAAUAUACUGAUUGAGGUCUGUUAGUAGCGAUAUACAAUUUCCUUGAAUAUCGAACUUUGAAACCACAAUCUUAAGCUCUAAUAAAACUAAUAAAUUAAUUAAUAAUUUAUAAAAAAAAAACAACAUUGUUUUUAAGAAACUAAGCAUAAGUACUAACAUUCAUUUCCUGAGUCCGUUAACUAAACCGAAGGUAGUUUUCGAAUGUCACGCGAGACGAAGGGUCGAUGACCCCAUGCAUCAGCUGUUUUUAUAAAUUUAACUAUACAUGGCGUUUUUUUUUUUCUAAUUUUGUCGCGCCUAUAAUAUAAUAGUACUCGAUCUGUCUCCCGUGUGCUUAGUUCGAGUUUUUUAACUUUCUCGAUAGCGUAAGAGUUAACUCAAAUUGUUAUGGAAUUGGGACGUUUGCGUACGUUUGCCGCUAGAGGCGCUGUUCCAACUGCAUACAAAUUUGAGUUAACUUUUACGCUAUCGAGACAGUAAAAAAACUCGCACUAAGCACACUGAUUCCGUUGUCAGGCUGUGAAUUCCAAGAUGUGAGUUUUUGUUUGUUAAUAUAAAACUUAUCGAUGUUUUUUUUUUAAUAUGCUAAUCUCUAAAAUUAAGACGAAAACGUCACAAUCGCACCCGAUAUAUUUGUAGCUUAGAUCAAUUCUGUUAAUAAUAUAUUUACUGUGACAUAAUUAUUUUUAAAACCUUCCUUAUACCUGUAAUGUAAUGUCUUCAUACUGAAUUCGAUUUGUUUAUUGUGUGUGAAAUAUAAUAUUUUUUGUAUCAUUUUUUUGUAAAUUAUCUCGUGUCUUUCAAUAAUCUGUCUCGUCUAUUUUUCGGAAGGUAGCAUUACCUUUUGUUUGGGGAGUUUUUUUUUUUUAUAAUGGCAAUUAUUAAGUUUUUUUUUUAAAUAUAGUAACAAUCAACCGCGCUAUCUUUAAUGUCUGAUGUCGCAUUAUCACUUUUAGGUGCGACUCUAUUAAUAAUAUUUACAUAUCGAGGGGUGAAAGCCUAUUUGGUUUAAGCUACACUUUUGAAACUUUACAGAAGAAUCGAAAAGUUUAAAAUUUGAAAAAAAUAUUAUGAAAAAAAACGUCAUCUGUUCAUCUUCAGUUAUUUGAAUGAUGUAAACUUAAUUGAAGUUCGAUUGAAAACAAUUGAAUUGUUGAUGCUAAUCACUACAUAGUAUAAAACAAAGUCGCUUUUUCCCGCGAUAUCUGUCUGUCCCUAUGUAUGCUUACAUCUUUAAAACUACGCAACGGAUUUUGAUGCAGUUUUUUUUUAAUAAUAAUAAUAAUUAUUAUUUAUUUAUUAACCUUGAAACAUUUACACAUAACAGUUUGCUAAAAACUCUCCACACUAGGCACUGCCUGUCUCGUGGAGAGUUUUUUUACAGGAGUAUCUUAAAACUAGUAAUAACUAUAAUGAUUGAAGAGGAAAGUUUAUAUGUAUAAUAACAUCCAUUAAAUAGUGGAGAAAUCAAUAAUAAAUUACAGUUUCCGAAGCGAAGCAAGGGCGGGUCGCUAGUAACAAAUAAAACGGACCUUUGAUUACAAAGAUAAAUGUCGCGUAUUAAACGAAUAGCUUUUCACCCCUCGAUAUGUUUUUAAGUGAAUUAAAACUACAUUAAUGCCGGAUUUAUUUAUUUAAUCGAUUCCUUCAUCAAUCAUUCUGGGGCCACUUAACGAUUUUUUUAGUAUAAUAAAGAGACAUUUUUUUUGUUGUUUUUUCAACAACUAUUACGCAAUUUUUUUUAUUGGUUUCUUCGUUUUUCAUGCCGAUACUUGAUUCAAAGUGAAAUUCGGACAUGAGAUUGUAGCUGCGUCAGUCCAAUUUUUUUUUCCUACCUAUUUUAGUGACCUCGAGGGGUCAUACUAGAUUCACUGAGUGAGGAGUCCAAUAACGUGGUGUCUCAAGUAACAAGGAAGGCCACCACAGAAACUCCUGUACCUCACUCUCCUUCUUCGUCGCUUUCUUCUUAUUACCGAAGGUCGUGUCUCUGUAACUUGACCUUCGCCUGUCUGAUGAGCUGUUUCCACCUCGUCCAGUCCUCAGCUUCUCGAUUGGCGAUUACGAAUCACCAAACUCAAUAAUCUCGUUUUCUUUUUCUAUUUAUCAUCCAUAUGCUGGGUGUUAGGAGACCGCUUCAGAAAACGAAAAUUUUGUACCUACAAAGUUGUAAGGGGAGCGCGGUAUCAGCGCCGCGCCCGGGAGUUCGUUGACCCGAGCAUCAGCUGCUUUAGAUUUUGUGUUUCAUUGCUGGGUUUUUUUAAAGUAAAAUAAUGUAUUUUUUAUGAAGCUAUCGUUUCAUUUAGUUGUACUAACAUCUUAGAUGGGUGGACGAUCUCACAGCCCCCCUGGUGUUAAGUGGUUGCUGGAGCCCAUAGACAUCUACAACGUAAAUGGCGCCACCCACCUUGAGAUAUGAGUUCUAAGGUCAAUGUGUUUCUUUUUCGUUAAUAUGUUUCUUUUUUAUCUCCUUAUAAAAUGUAAGCAACACAUAAUAUACGUCUUGUACAUAAUGAAAAAAAUAAUAAUUAAAUCCUUUAAAAUAGACACCCUGGUUCGAUGUAAUAUAGAAGCCUCUUCGCAACGAUCAAAUUAUGUUUUGGACUUGUUCUUUUUUAUUUUUUUGUUAUAGAUAACAAAAACUAAUUUCGAUUUUAAGCGUUCAUAGUACAAUUGUGUAAAAUGUAAAAAUCCGAACUUUGUACAUUAUUAAUCAAUUUAAAUGUUCAAUUACUUUUUUUUGUUGAUCGAUUUUUAUAAUACGAUUGUCGAUAAUGAUUAUGAAUGUAAUAUGCUAUAAUUAAAACUGUAUUUAGGAUAAAUUAAUGUCUUUAUCACUACAUAGUAUAAAACAAAGUCGCUUUCUCUGUCCCUAUAUCUGUCUGUCCCUAUGUAUGCUUAAAUCUCUAAAACUACGCAACGGAUUUUGAUGCGGUUUUUUUUAAAUAGAUAGAGUGAUUGAAGAGGAAGGUUUAUAUGUAUAAUAACAUCCGUUAAAUAGUGAAGAGAUCAAUAAUAAAUUACAGUUUCCGAAGCGAAGCGAGCGCGGAUCGCUAGUAUUAUUAUAAAAGAUCAUUUAAAACUAUAUUUACGGUUAAUUAAUGUCUUUGUAUUAUAAAAGAUCUAACGGAUGUCUUACAGUGUUCGUGAAACUAUUUAAGUGUUGUGCGUCGAAAUUAGAUUUUUUUAUUGCUUAGAUGGGUAAACGAGCUCACAGCCCAUUUUGUGUUAAGUAGUUACUGGAGCCCAUAGACAUCUACAACGUAAAUGCGCCACCCACCUUGACAUAUAAGUUCUAAGGUCUCAAGUAUAGUUACAACGGCUGCCCCAUCCUUCAAAUUUUGCAGACUACCGUCAGUUCGAGGCGUCGGUUAAAAAAAGAUGUAUAACACGUUCAAUUCUCUAUUUUAGUAAAUAAUAACAGUAAAGAUUUUUUUUAUUGUAGGCAGACGAGAAUACGGCCCACCUGAUGGUGAGUGGUUGUCGUCGCCCGUGGACUUCAGCAAUGCCAGAGGCAGAGCCAAGCCGCCGCUUACCGUUAAGUAUAUGUAUGUACAACACUAAAUCACAGUAAUAUAGAAUCCAGUAUCGGGCAUAACGUGGGAGGAGCUAAAAUAGACUGCCCAAGACCGAUGCAAAUGAGAGGAUUUGAUUAUCCAAUCAAUGCCUUACCCUGCAACCCAGCAGAGGGUAAUAGGAAAGAAUGAAAAAAAAGAAGAAAUCAUUCCACAUUUAAAAAAAAAAACGUUAUCGACAAUCGUAUUGAUAAAUAUAUACCUAUCGAGAAGUGAAAAGGUUAUUUGGUAUAAGCGACAUUUUUGCAACUUUACCAAAGAGCCAUUUAAAGUUUAAAAUUUAGUAAAACAAUUUUGGUCAUAACAAAAACACUUCGGCUUUUUGAAUGUGGUAAACAUAAUUGAAGUUAAAUUAAAAACAUCGAACACAUGUUGAUGUUAACAACUUUAAUUACAAAAGUUAAAUGUCGAUUAAACCAAAUAGCUUUUCGCUUUUCGAUAAUUAAUAGUGAUGUGUAAGUUUUUGUAUCGAUAUAAGUAAUAGUGAUUAAUUACAACAUAAUAUAUCACACGUGUAUAGUUAAUUAAAUGUAUUGGGAGACAAAAAUGUGAGACUAUUAAAAUAUUUGUUUACAGGAAGAAAUUACUGUUUCGUGUUCUUUGUUUUUUUUUUUCAUUGUCCUUUUUUCUUACUCUUAACUUCAUUGGAAAAUUAGUUCGAAUUCGAAUUAUUAUAAUUAAUUUACUGUAAAUUAUUACAAAAUAUUUAUUUUCGUAUAGUGUCUCGCUUGAUUCGUGUCUAAAAUGUUCAGUCUCUAAUCUAAGAGAGGCGACAGUGUUAGGAACCACGUGUCAUAAACAGUGACAGUAAGGGCAUGUCCGCACUGCGAUAUUCCACCGUGAGAUUUUUAUUCUAGCGUAUUAAAUUCCGCGAUCGGAAUUACAUAUUAGUGCGCACUGCGAAUAAAAUUUCGUAUUAUUUUUGUCAGUUUAAUUCAGCUCUCGGCUGAGACGCACGCGUAAAAUGAACAACUGGUCGUAGGACCUCUUGUGAGUCCGCACGGGUAGGUACCACCACUCUGCCUAUUUCUGCCUUGAAGCAGUAAUGCGUUUCGGUUUGAAGGGUGGGGCAGCCGUUGUAAUUAUACUUGAGACCUUAUAACUUAUAUCAAGGUGGGUGGCGCAUUUACGUUGCAGAUGUCUAUGGGCUCCCCUAACCACUUAACAGCAGGUGGACUGUGAGCUCGUCCACCCAUCUAAGCAAUAUAUAAAAAAUAAAAAAAAGCAACCGAACUAAAAUUUCAAUUUAUCUAAUAAUAAAGCGGCGUAUCAGACUUAUCAAAAGAUGUCUCAUGAACAUUGCAUUCACCCACUUACGGCAUUGAGACCCAUGAAACUGAGCGAAACGCGCGAAUUUUAUUCCGCAGCGCGAACAUAGCCAUACUUACUUUAUACAUAUCGACGCUUGAAAGGCAAACGUGACUAAGCGACAAUGUGUGAACUUUACAGUAGACUAAUUUAAAGUUGAAAUACCUGAAAACAAAAUUUAUUUUGACGAAUCUAGCUGUAGUAGAAUCUAGCUAGUAGCUGUAGGAUUGAAAUGAUUUUAAUAGACCUAAAAGUAGAUUUUUUUGGGCAUCGAAUAUGGUUAUUGCCUAUCAUUUAUGUACAAAACAGUUAUUGUCGCUUAGUCACGUUUGCCUUUCAAGCGUCGAUAUGGUACAAAAUAAUCCCGCGGAAAUAACUUGCACCGCUUCGCAUUCAAUUUGGAUGAAUCACAGAUUUUUUCCCGCACCAUUUUAUUUUGACCACCAGUGCGUUGAAUGUGUUACAGAAUUACGAGAGAAAAAAAACACGCGGUGAAAUAUCGCACAAGUGCGGACAAAGCCUUAUUCACAAGUUUGGCAGCCGCCUAUUGAUACAAGUAGAAGUCAAUAGUCAGACUUUUUCCUGCACCAUUUUUUUACCACCAGUUCGUUGAAUGUGUUACAGAAUUACGAGAAAAAAAAAACGCGCUGUAAAAUAUCGCAUUGCGUACACGGCCUUAUACACAAGUUUGCCAGCCGCCGAUUGAUACAAGUAGAAGUCAAUAGUCAGACUUUUUCCUGCACCAUUUUUUUACCACCAGUUCGUUGAAUGUGUUACAGAAUUACGAGAAAAAAAAAACGCGCUGUAAAAUAUCGCAUUGCGUACACGGCCUUAUACACAAGUUUGCCAGCCGCCGAUUAGUGCAAGUGAAAGUCAAUAGUCAGACUUCUCUUGUUCAAUUCCGCCAUUUUUAUUUUAGACAAACGAAAAAAAUCAUAAAUCAGAUACGAGACUGUAUCCCGUACGUGUUACUUCGCUAAUGUUCUUACAGUUCUAUAGAACUUAUUCGUAUAUUUUUUUCUGUAAAUGAAUAGUGUUUCUUCCUGAAAACUCAUUAGCCAAUAAUAAUAAUAAUUUCCGUAAUGUAAAUAUCGAUCGUUAUAUAUAUAUAGCCUCAUUUAAAAUAUUACAUUUAACGCAUAUUAUUAUUUAAUUAUGAAGAUAAAUAUAUAAUCACCAUUGCAUUUUA